GUCUUUGUAGCUUACAAUAAAGCAUGGCACUGAAGAUGCCAAGAUGUCACCACACGUGCCCAAAGACA
rnacentral:tRNA from 1 species